CCCCACACUGGUACUGAGACACGGACCAGACUCCUACGGGAGGCAGCAGUGAGGAAUAUUGGUCAAUGGAGGCAACUCUGAACCAGCCAAAGCCGCGUGAAGGAAGACUGUUCUAUGAAUUGUAAACUUCUUUUGUGGUAGAGUAAAUAUAGCUAACGUGUAGUUAUUUGCAAGUAUACCAUGAAUAAGCAUCGGCUAACUCCGUGCCAGCAGCCGCGGUAAUACGGAGGAUGCAGGCGUUAUCCGGAUUUAUUAGGUUUAAAGGGUGUCUAGGCUGCCACAUAAGUCAGGCGUGAAAGUCGGUUGCUCAACAAUCGAAUUGCCUUUGAAACUGUGUGGCUCGAGUAUAGAUGAGGUAGGCGGAAUGUGUAGUGUAGCGGUGAAAUGCAUAGAUAUUACACAGAACCCCAAUUGCGAAGGCAGCUUACCAAACUAUUACUGACGCUGAAGCACGAAAGCGUGGGUAGCGAACAGGAUUAGAUACCCUGGUAGUCCACGCCGUAAACUAUGCUCACUCGCUGUUGGCAAUAGAUCGUCAGCGGCUAAGGGAAACCGAUAAGUGAGCCACCUGGGGAGUACGAUCGCAAGAUUGAAACUCAAAGGAAUUGACGGGGGCCCGCACAAGCGGAGGAACAUGUGGUUUAAUUCGAUGAUACGCGAGGAACCUUACCUGGGCUUAAAUGUAGAGUGCAUAAAGUGGAAACAUUUUUUUCCUUCGGGACUCUUUACAAGGUGCUGCAUGGUUGUCGUCAGCUCGUGCCGUGAGGUGUCGGGUUAAGUCCCAUAACGAGCGCAACCCCUAUCGUUAGUUACCAGCACGUAGUGGUGGGGACUCUAGCGAAACUGCCGGUGUAAACCGUGAGGAAGGUGGGGAUGACGUCAAAUCAGCACGGCCNUUAUGUCCAGGGCUACACACGUGUUACAAUGGUCGGUACAGUGGGCAGCCACAUAGCAAUAUGGAGCUAAUCUCAAAAGCCGAUCUCAGUUCGGAUUGGAGUCUGCAACCCGACUCCAUGAAGGUGGAUUCGCU
rnacentral:rRNA from 1 species